rnacentral:rRNA from 1 species
GAUGAACGCUGGCGGCGUGCUUAACACAUGCAAGUCGAACGGUGAACACGGAGCUUGCUCUGUGGGAUCAGUGGCGAACGGGUGAGUAACACGUGAGCAACCUGCCCCUGACUCUGGGAUAAGCGCUGGAAACGGCGUCUAAUACUGGAUAUGUGACGUGACCGCAUGGUCUGCGUUUGGAAAGAUUUUUCGGUUGGGGAUGGGCUCGCGGCCUAUCAGCUUGUUGGUGAGGUAAUGGCUCACCAAGGCGGCGACGGGUAGCCGGCCUGAGAGGGUGACCGGCCACACUGGGACUGAGACACGGCACAGACUCCUACGGGACGCAGCAGUGGGGAAUAUUGCACAAUGGGCGCAAGCCUGAUGCAGCAACGCCGCGUGAGGGAUGACGGCCUUCGGGUUGUAAACCUCUUUUAGCAGGGAAGAAGCGAAAGUGACGGUACCUGCAGAAAAAGCGCCGGCUAACUACGUG